UCAUCACUCACCACAUUCACCUCUCUCUAUCUCUCUGUCUCUUCUUCCUUGAUCUCAGCCGGAUCUGAUGGGGGAGGGGACGAAUACAUGAGUGAUGGAAAAAAAUAUAUAAGAAAUAACUAGAAACCCUAAUUAGAAAAAGCUUUGUUUCUCUGAGGGAAGGAAAGAGGGAUCUAUCUUUUGCGGGGACUGUUGUCUGGCUCGAGGACUCUUACACUAAUACAAUCUAUCUCCAUUAUUUUCGAUGGUCGCAUCUCAGAUCUGAUGAUGAUGAUUGUUUAGGGUUUUAGCGUCGUCGGACCAGGCUUCAUUCCCCCCAAAUUAAUAUUGCUCCCUCGAUCCCAGUCCGAACCAACCCAAGAAGCUUCCUCGUCCCCUUUUUUUGUCAGCUCUUCAUCUAGCUUAGCUAGGGUUUCUUCUAUUUCUCAAUGUGAACAAAGUUUCGAUGUUUUCUUAUCAAUCUUUAUUUUAUUUUUAUAGGUCUUCGUUAUCAAGAUCUUCUGAGUUUUCAGAUGCUUCAAGCUCAAGAAACUUGGUCGGAUAAAUUCUCUUUUUUUUCCAAAUAUUGUAACUUGUAAAUGUAAUAAUAUCUUCUAUCUAUUAGUUGGAUUACCUGAUCUUUCAUUUA